rnacentral:sRNA from 1 species
UCUCCUCCUGCUCCACCCUCUACAGAGCCAGGCUUCCUGGUGCCCCAGCCAGGCCAGCAACUGAGUUAGGGUUGGGAUCUGCGCCUUCUCAGGGACCGGGAGAGUGUGCCUUCAUCAAGGCUCCCAGUCGAGCUUUCCCAGUUGCACUGGGGCUGAGCUGAGAAUUCCCCUGGGUUUCUAUGUGGGUCCCUAAACACAUCCCAAUAUUGGUGAUGGGUGCUGCUUUAGGGGGUCAGCAAAGAAUGGAGAAUGUGGUCCCAAGCUCACUGCCUCAGUGGUGACAGUGUGGACAUUCAACCUAUUGUGUCAGCUUGGCCACCCACCUCCCUCACGUUGCUGUGGUGGGCAGUAUGCCCACUGCUUCUCCAUCCAUGAAGCACCUACUGCCUGGGUUGGCUGUGCCAAGGCUGGUACUUGGUGAGCCUCCCCAGGGCCCAGCAGAUAGGAGGAGCAAGGGAGAAACAGGAACAGGACCCCAGGAACAAGCCAUGGACACCAGUCAUGGAACCCUAGAGCCAGAGGGCGGCCUCUAAGGCCUCACGCUCCAGGGGCACCCACAGAGGCAAAGCCAUUUGCUAGACGUCACAUACGGAAUACUAAAGCCAAAGCCAAGCCUGGGGGACAGACAGGCUAGCGGAUGGCCGACCUAGAGGACGGCUGAGGACCGAGGAGACGGUCGAGCUAGGGGAUGGAUGACCUAGGGGACAGCCAGGCUAGGGGAUGGAUGACCUAGGGGACGGCCAGGCUAGGGGAUGGAUGACCUAGGGGACGGCGAACCUAGGGGAUGGAUGACCUAGGGGACGGCCAGGCUAGGGGAUGGAUGACCUACGGGACGGUCGAGCUAGGGGAUGGAUGACCUAGGGGACAGUCGAGCUAGGGGAUGGAUGACCUACGGGACGGUCGAGCUAGGGGAUGGAUGACCUACGGGACGGCCAGGCUAGGGGAUGAAUGACCUAGGGGAAGGCCAACCUAGGAGACAGAUGACAUGGGAGACAACCGAGCCACGGGCAGCUGACCUGACUUCCUCAUGGCGUGGAGUCAGCCUGAGCGAGGGCUGGGUGCUGUGCCUAUUCAAGACAUGGAUGCUAAAGAGGAAAACAAACCAAACAAAGACAGCCAUAAAGGACAUUUUGGGAACAAUUAAAUUCAACUGAGGACUGGAUGAUAGUGUAAAUGUGUAAUAUUAUCAAAUUGUUAAGUUCCUUGCAAGUGAUAAAGACACUGUUAAUGUACUUUUAUGUAGGAAAGUUAUAUAGGAGAAUGUCUGAGUUCUUAGGAAGUCCAUCCUAAAAUGUUUAGGGACGAAGGGUCGUGGUAUCUACCAAUGAUUCAUUACAAAAGGUCAUAUAAAAGAUGACAUAUAGAUGAAGCGUGUGGCAAAAUGGUAACCUUUGGCAGACAUGGGUGAGAGGCAUGUGGGUGUUCAUUGUCUUCCUCUUUCAACUUUCCUGUGGGUUUAAAUCUUUCAAAAUAAGUGUGGGGAACAGGGGCUCUAAAGUGAGGAUGGGGUUUGACCUGCCUCGGAAGGAGGAAGCCCCUUCUGCCAGGCCAGGAUCCUGGGGCCACUCCAGCAGCAGACGCCUCCUCCCGCCUCACAGCAUCUGUGAAACAAGAGCCUGGGUUUUGUUUUGUUAUAAACGUUUAAACCAGUCAAAAUACUUAUUUUUUAUUUAAAAUGUUUAUUAUAGAAAAUUUAGGAUAAUUCAGACUUUUAAAAAGUCACCUGUAGCCCGACCUACAAGAGAGAACUUGCGUUUACCUCUUUUCUAAUUGCUCCCAUUUGACUUUAAAUACAAGCAACGCAGCUGCCUCUUGAGCCCUGCGGCCCACCAGGGUGUGGCCUGGGUACCCUGCCACCCCGCAUCCAGAUUCACAGCAGAACGUCAGCUCCUGUGGCUGGCCACCACCUCAGGCACACAGGGACGGGUGGUGACUUCGCCCCUCCCAGCCUGGAAAACGGGUAGAUUGUGGGAAGGCAGCCACUGCCCCCCAUUACUGUUGACAUCAGCCAUAGGCGAAGAUGUUAGUGCUGUUCCUUAGGGUGUGGUCCAUAGUUCCUGUGGGCUUUUUGCAAGCCGCUUCGGGAAAUCAUCUGUCUCUUUUUCUGAACCGGCUUGUUCUCAUAACGACAUUCUCUUGCUCUGAUUUGUGGGAGAGGUGGGUCCACCUGAGGCAGGCGGGACACAGGUGCUCAAAGUUGAAGGAGGCAAAUUUAUUCUUCCCUCGCCUGUAGGCUUGGGAAGCACAGCUCCGCACAAGGCCGCCCCACAGAUGGGAUGGAUGGAGCAACAGGGAGCGCGGCUGGGGUUGCAGCCUGCCUGGAAUUCUCAGGACUUCCCUGUCUUGUGCGCCACCACACACCCUGGUUUCCUUAAUGCCUUUCAGCCGUUUAAUAUGGCUGGUGAGACCACAAGAGCAGAUGUGACUCACCUUGACCCUCAGAGCGGCUCUGCACAAGGUGUGAUGGAAUGAGAAGAGGCUCCUGCUGCUGCCUGACGUGCUUUUGGUGAACAGCACUUACUGAUGCUAGUUCAAUUCCCUUUACCGGGCACAAUCAAGAAAUGGCAGCUGGGUGGCACACAGGAACACUGCCAGCGGAGGGCCUUUUGGGAGAGAUGGGCGGUUUCCCUCCCAGUUUUGCUGCAUCUGUCUCUGAGAGCAGGACCCCCUUUCCUCCCGCACCCCACUUCCACUCCCCCGGAGCAUUCAGCAGGAAGAAGUGGGCUGAAUUUCCACAAGCACAUGGUCACUCAAGGAGAAAAGCAUCUAGAAUCACAUAUUUUAACGGCUUUAACUUUACACAAGGGACAGUGAGAUGAGGCGAGUUUUGGGGGUGGUGAGGAAGAAGCUAUUUCUUCCCAGUAAAAGAGUGAACCCCGGCCGUAUUCAAAACCGGGUCCACUCAGACGCUGCCACUAGGAUCUUCACACCCAGAUUCCUACCUAGGCAGUCCUGUGUGACUUCGUGAAAAAUAAUCUCGUGUUUUAAGUCUUGUGUGUUUGUUUUCAACUUCUAACUUAUUUUGCUCCAUUUCUGUGUUCUUAAUUUUUAAUUUGUUAAUCAUUAUUAUUAUUACUAUUCUGUUUUGUUUUCUGAUGCCAUCCGCUUAAAAGUCGAUUUAUGUACCACACGCCUUGGCAUUCAGGAGAUCAUGUGCAUCAAAGCCAAGAACCUACACAGAGGAGGAACUGAAUGCCAAGCUGACCCGGCGUGUGCAAAAGGCAGCUCGGAGACAGGCCAAGCAGGAGGAGCUUAAGCGGCUGCAUCGAGCCCAGAUCAUCCAGCGGCAGCUGCAGCAGGUGGAGGAGAGGCAGCGGCGGCUGGAGGAGAGGGGCGUGGCCGUGGAGAAGGCGCUCCGGGGCGAAGCAGGCAUGGGCAAGAAGGACGACCCCAAGCUGAUGCAGGAGUGGUUCAAGCUAGUGCAGGAGAAGAACGCCAUGGUGCGCUACGAGUCGGAGCUGAUGAUCUUUGCCCGGGAGCUGGAGCUGGAAGACCGGCAGAGUCGACUGCAGCAGGAGCUCCGGGAACGCAUGGCAGUGGAAGAUCACCUUAAGACUGAGGAGGAGCUGUCAGAAGAGAAGCAGAUUCUCAAUGAGAUGCUGGAGGUGGUGGAGCAGAGAGAC